GUUAGUAAAGAAAAAGAAGAACUGUAUAGCUUCUCAAGCUUGACCCAAUCUCGAGCCUGCUCACUGUCCAUCUCGAAGCACAAUUCCUGGGAUCCAUCAAUGAUUUGUAUAUCAAUCAACCAGCUCAAUGUCUACCCAUCCCAAAGACUUUAAACAAAAGGAAAGGUGAAAGUUUGGAAUUGGAAGUGUACAGUACUUCCCAGAAGACAAUGGAAUGAACUAAGUCAAAGGUUCUACUUUGAGGGAGAAGAGAGAUGGCUGUAGCCAAAAUUUUCUGACGAUCAACCUUCAAAGUCACUUCACUUUAACGCCCCCCCCUCUCCAUUUCUAAAAUUCUCUGUUCCUUUGAAACCAGAUAAUAAAUGCA
rnacentral:lncRNA from 1 species